rnacentral:rRNA from 1 species
UACGUAGGUGGCGAGCGUUAUCCGGAAUGAUUGGGCGUAAAGGGUGCGCAGGCGGUUGUAUCAGUCUGAAGUAAAAGGCAUCGGCUUAACCGGUGUAAGCUUUGGAAACUGUAUAACUAGAGUGCAGGAGAGGGCAGUGGAAUUCCAUGUGUAGCGGUAAAAUGCGUAGAUAUAUGGAGGAACACCAGUGGCGAAGGCGGCUGCCUGGCCUGUAACUGACGCUGAGGCACGAAAGCGUGGGGAGCAAA